AUUGAACGCUGGCGGCAGGCCUAACACAUGCAAGUCGAGCGGAUGAGGGAAGCUUGCUUCCCGAUUUAGCGGCGGACGGGUGAGUAAUGCCUAGGAAUCUGCCUAUUAGUGGGGGAUAACGUUCCGAAAGGAACGCUAAUACCGCAUACGUCCUACGGGAGAACGUGGGGGAUCUUCGGACCUCAGGCUAAUAGGUGAGCCCAGGUCGGAUUAGCUAGUUGGUGGGGUAACGGCUCACCAAGGCGACGAACCGUAGCUGGUCUGAGAGGAUGGUCAGCCACACUGGAACUGAGACACGGUCCAGACUCCUACGGGAGGCAGCAGUGGGGAAUAUUGGACAAUGGGCGAAAGCCUGAUCCAGCCAUGCCGCGUGUGUGAAGAAGGUCUUCGGAUUGUAAAGCACUUUAAGUUGGGAGGAAGAGUUGUAAGCUAAUAUCUUGCAGCUUUGACGUUACCAACAGAAUAAGCACCGGCUAACUCUGUGCCAGCAGCCGCCGUAACAC
rnacentral:rRNA from 1 species